rnacentral:rRNA from 1 species
GAUGAGCGCUGGCGGCGUGCCUAAUACAUGCAAGUCGAGCGAACAGACGAGGAGCUUGCUCCUCUGACGUUAGCGGCGGACGGGUGAGUAACACGUGGAUAACCUACCUAUAAGACUGGGAUAACUUCGGGAAACCGGAGCUAAUACCGGAUAAUAUAUUGAACCGCAUGGUUCAAUAGUGAAAGACGGUUUUGCUGUCACUUAUAGAUGGAUCCGCGCCGCAUUAGCUAGUUGGUAAGGUAACGGCUUACCAAGGCAACGAUGCGUAGCCGACCUGAGAGGGUGAUCGGCCACACUGGAACUGAGACACGUUCCAGACUCCUACGGGAGGCAGCAGUAGGGAAUCUUCCGCAAUGGGCGAAAGCUUGACGGAGCAACGCCGCGUGAGUGAUGAAGGUCUUCGGAUCGUAAAACUCUGUUAUUAGGGAAGAACAAAUGUGUAAGUAACUAUGCACGUCUUGACGGUACCUAAUCAGAAAGCCACGGCUAACUACGUG